rnacentral:lncRNA from 1 species
UUUUUUUUUUUUUUUUUUCCAGAAACAAACAGAAGUGGAGAGGCAGAAGAUUGUGGCCGAGUGCAAGGAGCUCCGAGGCUUCCUGGAGGAGAAGGAACAGCUCCUGCUGUCCCGUCUGGAGGAAUUAGACAGAGACAUCAUUAAGCGGAGAGAUGAGAGUGUCUCCAGGCUCUCCGAGGAGAUUGCCCAGCUCGAUAAGCUGCUGGGUGAGCAAGGAGGAGAAAAUGGCCCAGGAAACCAGUCUGGGCAGGGUGUUGCCCCAGCUGGAAGCAGCUUUGAGAGCUGGAUGUUUUGCAAACCGGAGGCCGGUUUUACUGAGCUGGAGAAGAAACUCAAGAGCUUUUCCCAGAAGAGCGCAGUGCUGAAAGAAGUCUUGCUGGAGUUCAAGGGUGAGUGCUGAAAAAAAGGGUUUCUGUAAAAGUUGGGGCUUCCUAAACCCUCUGAGUCUGGCUUAAGAAGGGGGGGUGUUGAAUCUGGCU